rnacentral:lncRNA from 1 species
CCAUGUGUCAAUAUGAAUGAGAUCAAAGAUGUAUUUUGUUGAUAUAUGACUGAGAGAAAAAGCCAGCCUAGAUUGUUUGGCUUUAGGACAAAUAUCACAAAAACAAUCAGAAACAGAUAAAGAGGAAUUUGAGAGAAAACUGACAUUUUUCAUUGACGAUAAAGGCAAAUGCCCCAGUCUAAUGUGCCACAAUUUUACAUUAGAAGUUGCACUUGUA